ensembl:lncRNA
CAGAGCUUAAAGGUACAUAUUAAUGCUGAAAUGCUACAUACUAGUACCUUUUACUGUUUUUUCCAGCUGCUUACAUUUUUAAAACUUUACACACAAAUUGAAUUGCACACAAAAUGUAAAAUGACUCAAAUCUCUUGCAAAAUUAAGCGCUGAAUUCAAAAUAUCACGCACACAUCUCAAAAGCAAACAUCUGCAAACACCUUUUGUCAUAAUAUUAAUUCCUGUUAGAUGUGUGUGUGUUACAUAGAGAACUGUGUGUUGUGUUUUGCAAAAAGUGUUUUAUGAAAUUGAAAACACACACACACACACACACACACACACAAGUCAAAGGCUGAGUAUUAACAUUAGGGUAUGGUUUUGUAAGAUUUUGUAUGUAAGCAGCUGAAAAGGCUGCAGCCCCACUGACAGAUUUUGUAGCUUUAUCAGAGUGUGUUGAGUAUUUACAGUGAGUCUGCAGUGAGAAUUAGGCAAGUAUUUCAUUCUGAAGCUGCUGAGACAGAAUUACAGCCAAACUACAGAAUGAGUGUGUGUGUGUGUGUGUGUGUGUGUGUGUGGAGGAGCGUCAGAAAAGGCUCUCGAGUCUGUUCUGGACAGUUAUGAUAACCAUAUACAGUUAUGAUAACUCAAUAAAUAGACCGAUCAGCUUAAGAGAAACACUUCUCAUAUCUUCAGUCGUGACUCCAGUCAAACUCUACACCCAUCAUGGGGUUUAAUCCAGUCAAAAAUAAACUAGACAUCAACAAAACUACACCACACUCUUAAAAAUAAAGGUGCUUAAAAGCACUUAUCUGAGCCGUUCAGCUGGAGCGGGUCGAGCAGGAACGCUGAACAAUGAUCCGACACAAACUAAACACUGACGCUGACCUCAGGCCUCGUGUUCUCAACAAAUGACAUUAUUAAUGGUGCUUGAUGAUUGAGGAACCACCAGAGCCACAUCUACAGAGAUAACAGAAGAAAACAGCUACAAAAAUGCUCUAGAAAUCACUAGCAACCACCCAGAAUACCCUAGCAACUGCAUAGCAACCCCCUGUAAACAAA